AAUGUGGUCUAUCACUUAAACAAUGUAUUUCUGAGCAGAAGUUUGCUGGUGUUUGAAUGAUGUUUCUAUUGCUAUUUAAGCUUUCAGGAAGAUGAAAUAUUUUACCCUGAGUGAUGGAAACUGAGAAGCUGUUAGAGUGAAAAGAUGAGAGUAUGGAAAACAUACACUGUGAAAUUCCAUGUUUGACCUGACUGUUGAAAUAGAGCUUGAGUUUUGAAAACAAACACACAUAAAAACAACAGAAACUCCUACAAAGGAGUUUUGAUGUGUUAUAAAUGCCUAUAUCACUAAUGCAAAGGUAUUUUCUCAUUUUUUAAAUGUUUGCAGCAAGUUUUUGUAGUUCCUCUCUGAGCUGGCCAUCGUGCAAAGUAUGACACUAAAGGAAAGCUUGUAGAGAACAGUGUGAUGGAGGAAAUAAUGACUUGUGAGUCUAGAAACCUACCACAGGAGCUAGAGCUUCAUGAUUUCUAUCAAAAGUUUAAAAGUAUAAAGAUACACAUGCCACAAUGCAGUGCCAGGAACGUUAACUGCUUUUGAUCUCCCUCCUCAGAUAUUAACGUCUCCCCCUGAACACCCCCCCUUGUUUGGCGUCUUAAGAGUUUUCAUGCCAAUAAAGAUGCAGAGAACAGCAGUCUUUGCUUCUGUUUCUUCAGCUUGUUUUCUUAGUGUUGCAUGAUCUAUGCCCCGGAGAGGUCAAUUUUAAUCAGCCCCCAGGCACUGCUUAAUAUUUAGGGCCAAAUUGUCAAAGAAGGCCUCUGCUGGAUUUUGAUUAGCGAGCGUACGAUUGUUUCUUGCAC
rnacentral:lncRNA from 1 species